CUUGUUCUUGUUCUUGUUCUUGUUAUUUCCGUCGGGGUUUUCUUUGUCUUCGAAUCAAACAUCCAUCAUGAUCAAUCUCUCUCGGCUCCUUAACAACUCUGCCUUAUCAUGGGAUGUUAAGAAACAGCCAGACCCAUGUUCAUGGAAGGGGGUUAAUUGCAGCAGUGACAAUUCUUCUGUGAUCAGUCUUUCUUUAAAUGGGGUUGGUCUUUCCUCUUCUGGGUUUUUGUCUCUUGUUUGCACGAUUGAAUCUUUGCAAUACCUUGAUCUUAGUGUAAAUAAUCUUUCUGGGUCUAUUCCUCAUUCAAUUGGAAAUCUCACCAAGUUGAGGACUUUGAUUUUGUCUUCCAAUAAUUUGGUUGGUGAAAUCCCCCAGGCCAUUGCAAACAUCUCAACCCUGUCUCGGUUUUCAGCAAAUCAGAAUGGUUUUGUUGGUAGAAUUCCAAGUGGAAUUACAAGAUAUCUUAGCCUGUUAGAUCUUAGUUAUAAUAACUUAAAUGGUUCUAUUCCAUCAGAUCUUUUAUCGCAGUCGAAUUUGCGCACUGUGGAUUUGUCUUAUAAUCAUUUGGAUGGUUUAAUACCUGAAGAUAUAUCCCAAAGCUUGGUUAGACUGAGAUUGGGAAGCAACCUUUUCAAUGGGUCGGUCCCUUCUUUGUUCACUUUAAACCAUCGGUUGACUUACUUGGAGCUGGAUAACAAUAGCUUGUCUGGUGUAAUACCUGAUGGGUUAGCUUCUUGCCGGAAUUUGGCACUGUUGAAUUUAGCUCAGAAUAAUCUCAGAGGUCAAUUGCCAGUGGCAUUGGGUAAUAUUAGCAAUCUUCAAGUUUUGAAACUUCAAUUCAACAAGCUGGUUGGAGAAAUCCCUGUAUCAAUCUCUCAAUUACACAAGCUGUCAACUCUCAAUAUAAGCUGGAAUUCUCUUUCUGGCUUAAUACCUUCUACAAUUUCGAACUUGCAAAGCCUUGCUUACUUGAACUUACAAGGCAACUAUCUUAGGGGUUCGAUACCUGACAGCAUCAACUUCAUGAAUUAUCUGUUAGAACUCCAACUUGGACAAAAUCAACUGGGUGGGAGGAUUCCAACAAUGCCAGUGAAGUUGCAGAUUGCUUUGAAUCUCAGCAGCAACCUCUUUCAAGGGCGUAUUCCAAACACGCUUUCACGACUGGGUGAUUUGGAAAUUCUGGAUCUCUCAAACAAUAAAUUCUCAGGUGAGAUUCCGAGUUUUCUUACUCAGUUGGGAUCCCUAACACAGUUGAUACUCUCAAACAACCAGCUCACUGGAAUCAUCCCGGACUUCAAGCCAUGGGUUUCUGUUAAUACAAGUGGAAAUGUGGGUCUUACUAAUGUUACAAAAACAAACAAUUCCCCAGAAUUCAUGAAGAAGAGGAAACCACCUGUUUUGGUAGUUAUUCUUGCUAUUGGAGCUGCUGCUCUAGUUGGUGGGGUGAUCUUAGUUGUUGCUGUAUCGUUCUCCAGAAGAUUUCACAGGGUUAAUGAUCAACAGUCACAAUCAGGGGAAGAUCUUCCACUCUCUCUGGUCAUCCAAGGCAAUCUGUUGACUGCAAAUGCAAUUCACAGAUCGAAUAUUGACUUCUCCAAAGCCAUGGAAGCAGUUGCUGAUCCAUGGAAUAUUGUGCUAAAGACUAGGUUUUCCACUUACUACAAAGCCACCAUGCCUUCCGGAGCAAGCUACUUUGUCAAGAAGCUUAAUUGGAGUGACAAGAUAUUCCAAUUGGGAGGCCAUGAUAAAUUUGAUCAAGAGCUUAAAGUUUUAGGGAAAUUGAGCGAUUCAAAUGUCAUGACUCCAUUGGCAUAUUUAUUGACUGCUGAUAGUGCUUUUCUCUUCUAUGAGCAUACUCGGACGGGUACCCUAUUAGAUGUUCUUCAUGGUAAAGGGGGAAAUGCUUUGGACUGGGAAAGCCGUUACAGUAUAGCAGUCGGAGUGGCUCAGGGUCUUAACUUUCUGCAUGGACGUACUUCUGGACCGAUUCUCCUUCUUGACCUUUCAAGCAGAAAUAUUUUGCUGAAGUCCCUGAAGGAGCCUCUAGUAGGAGACAUUGAACUCUGCAAAGUGAUCGAUCCCGCAAAGAGCACUGGUAACCUUUCAACAGUUGCUG
rnacentral:misc_RNA from 1 species